GCCGCGGCGAUAGCUCAGUGGGUAAAGUGCCAGGUGAGAAGGUGGCGAUUACUCCGAGAGCUAUUAUCCGCGCGGGUUCGAAUCCCGUCUGUGGCA
rnacentral:tRNA from 1 species